UAGCCGCUAUCAAGACAUCUCGUUAGCGAUAUCAGACAUCUUGUUAUAACACGCUUGGACAUUGAUGCUAGUAAUAAUCGAGUAGCUAGUAAUAACGUCGUAUACACUUCUUUGUAAUGUUAUUGUGAUCGAUAUCUGGCUAACUUGCCACCCAAGCUCCACUAGUCUCAGGAUAGUCCAGAUAUUUCCAAGGAAUUUAGCGAUAGUUGACUUUGUCUGUUAGCAUUCCCUUACAGCCAGUUGGUCUGUGGUUACAUGUUUCAUGUAAGUUGUGACUGACUUAUUUAUCUUUUGAAUCAGGGACAAAGAAUUCGCUAUGCAAGGUGUUCAACCGUUGGGCAAAGAAACCGAAGCGGUUGGUGUGCUAGAAUCUAGCAUGCACUCCUUGAGCAUUGCUGAAGAGGAGCAGCAUGACUCUCUGGAUGAGGAGGAGGCAAAUUAUAUGAGGAAUAGCAUGUAAGUCUUGCACAUGAAACCAUCUUAGUUCGUGUACUUUUGUGCUUCAAGUUUAUGGUGUUGUGGGUGUGUGUGUGUUUUGUAAAUCAUUUUUAUUUACAGUAUUGACAUGGAUGAUUGCUGGGAGGAUCCUAAUCAGAAAGGCUUGGAAGAAGAUCGGGACAGCUCUGAUGAAGACUAUAGUCCUUUUCUUCAUCUACGGUAUGUUUCAGUUUCUAGUUGCAUUUCAGGUUGAACUACUGCUAUGUUGAAGGGUGCAAUCACAAAUAUUUUGGUCUUUCAGGAGAAGACAACGUUUUAGGAGAACAUGAUGCAGUUGUUCCUUUUUGAUCUUCAAAUUGAUUCUAUGUACAUAUCUUGCUGCUUUGCAGUGCCCCAGCUAUGACUGCCAACAUCAACCAACUCCUGGAGAUAAGCAUGGAUAAAGCCGUGCUUGAUGUGGCAACACCCAAUCCUCCAGGUGAGGACAUACAAGAAACUCCAGAACAACAAAAAGUUUCAGGUGUUUUUCAGGACAACUUCAGAUUUGGAGAAUUUCCAAAACCACAUACUCAUGUAUGCAGGAAAGCGGUUUGCCUACAGCCCCCCUGUUUACAAAACCCAGACAUUGCUUGCAGCAAUCGAUUACAACUAUCACAACCACCGCAUUCCUGCACGUGGCAAGGAUGGACACCGAAUGUAAGCUUUGCUAUAACAGUAGUGUACUACCAAAAAUAAUUCAUUAGUUCUUACCUAAACAGUUGUGGAAUUGUGCAAUUACUUUACUUUACUAGGUACAGACAGUACUUCAACAAGAAGUCCAAGCGCUGGAGUGUAUAUGUGUUGAAGGAGAGCAAAGGCUACCAUUACAUUCCAGACCUGCAGAAGGCCAU
ensembl:lncRNA